rnacentral:rRNA from 1 species
GACGAACGCUGGCGGCGUGCCUAACACAUGCAAGUCGAGCGAAUGAAGUUCCUUCGGGAAUGGAUUUAGCGGCGGACGGGUGAGUAACACGUGGGCAACCUGCCUCAUAGAGGGGAAUAGCCUUCCGAAAGGGAGAUUAAUACCGCAUAAGAUUGUAGUAUCGCAUGAUACAGCAAUUAAAGGAGCAAUCCGCUAUGAGAUGGGCCCCCGGCGCAUUAGCUAGUUGGUGAGGUAACGGCUCACCAAGGCGACGAUGCGUAGCCGACCUGAGAGGGUGAUCGGCCACAUUGGGACUGAGACACGGCCCAGACUCCUACGGGAGGCAGCAGUGGGGAAUAUUGCACAAUGGGGGAAACCCUGAUGCAGCAACGCCGCGUGAGUGAUGACGGCCUUCGGGUUGUAAAGCUCUGUCUUCAGGGACGAUAAUGACGGUACCUGAGGAGGAAGCCACGGCUAACUACGUG